rnacentral:tRNA from 1 species
GCGUAGCUUAAUAUGAAGCAUAGCACUGAAAAUGCUAAGAUGGGUCCUAAGAACCCCCGCAAGCA